rnacentral:rRNA from 1 species
AUUGAACGCUGGCGGAAUGCUUUACACAUGCAGGUCGAGCGGCAGCACGGGGGCAACCCUGGUGGCGAGCGGCGAACGGGUGAGUAAUACAUCGGAACAUGCCCAGUCGUGGGGGAUAACACUUCGAAAGAAGUGCUAAUACCGCAUACGUCCUGAGGGGGAAAGCGGGGGAUCGCAAGACCUCGCGCGAUUGGAGUGGCCGAUGUCAGAUUAGCUAGUUGGUGGGGUAAAGGCCUACCAAGGCAACGAUCUGUAGCUGGUCUGAGAGGAUGAUCAGCCACACUGGGACUGAGACACGGCCCAGACUCCUACGGGAGGCAGCAGUGGGGAAUUUUGGACAAUGGGGGCAACCCUGAUCCAGCCAUUCCGCGUGAGUGAAGAAGGCCUUCGGGUUGUAAAGCUCUUUCGGCAGGAACGAAACGGUGAGCUCUAACAUAGCUUGCUAAUGACGGUACCUGAAGAAGAAGCACCGGCUAACUACGUG